rnacentral:rRNA from 1 species
CCCUUAGAUGUUCUGGGCCGCACGCGCGCUACACUGAUUCAUGCAACAAGUUUUGUCCUUGGCUGAUAGGCCUGGGUAAUCUUUGAACGUGAAUCGUGAUGGGGAUAGAUGAUUGCAAUUAUUCAUCUUCAACGAGGAAUGCCUAGUAAACGCAAGUCAUCAGCUUGCAUUGAUUACGUCCCUGCCCUUUGUACACACCGCCCGUCGCACCUACCGAUUGAAUGGUCCGGUGAAAUCUUCGGAUCUGAGAGAUGUCUGAUUAAUUUCGGACGCCUUUUGGAAAAGUUGUUUAAACCUUACCAUUUAGAGGAAGGUGAAGUCGUAACA